rnacentral:rRNA from 1 species
AUUGAACGCUGGCGGCAUGCCUUACACAUGCAAGUCGAACGGUAACGGGCCUUCGGUUGCCGUCGAGUGGCGAACGGGGGAGUAAUACAUCGGAACGUGCCCGAUCGCGGGGGAUAACGAGGCGAAAGCUUUGCUAAUACCUCAUACGAUCUACGGAAGAGAGCCGGGUACCUCAAGGCCUUGCGCGGACGUUGCGGCCGAUGGCAGAUUAGGUAGUUGGUGGGAUAAAAGCUUACCAAGCCGACGAUCUGUAGCUGGUCUGAGAGGAUGAUCAGCCACACUGGGACUGAGACACGGCCCAGACUCCUACGGGAGGCAGCAGUGGGGAAUUUUGGACAAUGGGCGCAAGCCUGAUCCAGCAAUGCCGCGUGCAGGAUGAAGGCCUUCGGGUUGUAAACUGCUUUUGUACGGAACGAAAAGCCUUCUUUUAAUACAGGAGGGUCAUGACGGUACCGGAAGAAUAAGCACCGGCUAACUACGUG